GUAGGGAAUAUUGCGCAAUGGACGAAAGUCUGACGCAGCGACGCCGCGUGAGUGAUGAAGGCCUUAGGGUCGUAAAGCUCUGUUGAAUGGGAAGAAAAAAAUGACGGUACCAUUCGAGGAAGGACCGACUAACUUCGUGCCAGCAGCCGCGGUAAUACGAGGGGUCCUAGCGUUGUUCGGAAUCAUUGGGCGUAAAGGGUGUGUAGGUGGCCAUGUAAGUCAGGUGUGAAAGCCCCGGGCUCAACCCGGGAAGUGCACUUGAUACUGCGUAGCUUGAGUACCGAAGAGGGUAGUGGAAUUCCAGGUGUAGUGGUGAAAUACGUAGAUAUCUGGAGGAACACCGGUGGCGAAGGCGGCUACCUGGUCGAGUACUGACACUGAGACACGAAAGCAUGGGGAUCAAACAGGAUUAGAUACCCGUGUAGUCC
rnacentral:rRNA from 1 species